UACGGGGGGAGCAAGCGUUGUUCGGAUUUACUGGGCGUAAAGGGCGCGUAGGCGGUCAGCACAAGUCAGUUGUGAAAUCUCCGGGCUUAACUCGGAAAGGUCAACUGAUACUGUGCGACUAGAGUGCAGAAGGGGCAACUGGAAUUCUCGGUGUAGCGGUGAAAUGCGUAGAUAUCGAGAGGAACACCAGUGGCGAAAGCGGCUACCUGGCCCAUUCUUGACGCUGAGGCGCGAAAGCUAGGGGAGCAAACGGG
rnacentral:rRNA from 1 species